GCUCCCUUGGUGGAAUUGGUAUACACGCCAGAUUAAGGUUCUGGUGAGCCUAGCUCAUGCGAGUUCGAGUCUCGUGGGGAGCA
rnacentral:tRNA from 1 species